GAUGAACGCUGGCGGCGUGCCUAAUACAUGCAAGUCGAGCGAACGGACGAGAAGCUUGCUUCUCUGAUGUUAGCGGCGGACGGGUGAGUAACACGUGGAUAACCUACCUAUAAGACUGGGAUAACUUCGGGAAACCGGAGCUAAUACCGGAUAAUAUUUUGAACCGCAUGGUUCAAAAGUGAAAGACGGUCUUGCUGUCACUUAUAGAUGGAUCCGCGCUGCAUUAGCUAGUUGGUAAGGUAACGGCUUACCAAGGCAACGAUGCAUAGCCGACCUGAGAGGGUGAUCGGCCACACUGGAACUGAGACACGGUCCAGACUCCUACGGGAGGCAGCAGUAGGGAAUCUUCCGCAAUGGGCGAAAGCCUGACGGAGCAACGCCGCGUGAGUGAUGAAGGUCUUCGGAUCGUAAAACUCUGUUAUUAGGGAAGAACAUAUGUGUAAGUAACUGUGCACAUCUUGACGGUACCUAAUCAGAAAGCCACGGCUAACUACGUGCCAGCAGCCGCGGUAAUACGUAGGUGGCAAGCGUUAUCCGGAAUUAUUGGGCGUAAAGCGCGCGUAGGCGGUUUUUUAAGUCUGAUGUGAAAGCCCACGGCUCAACCGUGGAGGGUCAUUGGAAACUGGAAAACUUGAGUGCAGAAGAGGAAAGUGGAAUUCCAUGUGUAGCGGUGAAAUGCGCAGAGAUAUGGAGGAACACCAGUGGCGAAGGCGACUUUCUGGUCUGUAACUGACGCCGAUGUGCGAAAGCGUGGGGAUCAAACAGGAUUAGAUACCCUGGUAGUCCACGCCGUAAACGAUGAGUGCUAAGUGUUAGGGGGUUUCCGCCCCUUAGUGCUGCAGCUAACGCAUUAAGCACUCCGCCUGGGGAGUACGACCGCAAGGUUGAAACUCAAAGGAAUUGACGGGGACCCGCACAAGCGGUGGAGCAUGUGGUUUAAUUCGAAGCAACGCGAAGAACCUUACCAAAUCUUGACAUCCUUUGACAACUCUAGAGAUAGAGCCUUCCCCUUCGGGGGACAAAGUGACAGGUGGUGCAUGGUUGUCGUCAGCUCGUGUCGUGAGAUGUUGGGUUAAGUCCCGCAACGAGCGCAACCCUUAAGCUUAGUUGCCAUCAUUAAGUUGGGCACUCUAAGUUGACUGCCGGUGACAAACCGGAGGAAGGUGGGGAUGACGUCAAAUCAUCAUGCCCCUUAUGAUUUGGGCUACACACGUGCUACAAUGGACAAUACAAAGGGCAGCGAAACCGCGAGGUCAAGCAAAUCCCAUAAAGUUGUUCUCAGUUCGGAUUGUAGUCUGCAACUCGGCUACAUGAAGCUGGAAUCGCUAGUAAUCGUAGAUCAGCAUGCUACGGUGAAUACGUUCCCGGGUCU
rnacentral:rRNA from 1 species